UACAGAGGGUGCGAGCGUUAAUCGGAGUUACUGGGCGUAAAGGGCGCGUAGGCGGUUAAAUGAGUGUGAUGUGAAAGCCCUGGGCUUAACCUGGGAAGUGCAUCGCAAACUGUUUGACUGGAGUAUAUGAGAGGGUGUCGGAAUUUCCGGUGUAGCGGUGAAAUGCGUAGAGAUCGGAAGGAACGUCGAUGGCGAAGGCAGGCACCUGGCAUAAUACUGACGCUGAGGCGCGAAAGCGUGGGGAGCGAACAGG
rnacentral:rRNA from 1 species